CCUACGGGUGGCUGCAGUGGGGAAUAUUGGACAAUGGGCGAAAGCCUGAUCCAGCCAUGCCUCGUGUGUGAAGAAGGCCUUCGGGUUGUAAAGCACUUUCAGUGGGGAAGAAAGCCUUGGGGCUAAUACCCUCGAGGAAGGACAUCACCCACAGAAGAAGCACCGGCUAACUCCGUGCCAGCAGCCGCGGUAAUACGGAGGGUGCGAGCGUUAAUCGGAAUUACUGGGCGUAAAGCGCGCGUAGGCGGUCUGAUAAGCCGGUUGUGAAAGCCCCGGGCUCAACCUGGGAACGGCAUCCGGAACUGUCAGGCUAGAGUGCAGGAGAGGAAGGUAGAAUUCCCGGUGUAGCGGUGAAAUGCGUAGAGAUCGGGAGGAAUACCAGUGGCGAAGGCGGCCUUCUGGACUGACACUGACGCUGAGGUGCGAAAGCGUGGGUAGCAAACAGGAUUAGAUACCCUUGUAGUC
rnacentral:rRNA from 1 species